GGUCAGGGGCCCCCCCCGGGGCGCCUUCCCAGCCCCGGAGCCCACCCACCUUCAUGGAGAGCAGGCGGGUGAGGUAGAUUUCCGGGAUGGCCUUGGCCCGCGCCCGCUCCCGCUCCCGCUCCCGCUCCCUCAGGCUGCUGCGCCGGGCCUUAGCUCCUUCUGGCUCUUCGGUGCCUUUCACCAGGUGCCAGAGGUGGACCCCACCCUCCUCACCAUCCUCCAGCAUGGGAACGUCUGAGGGCCCGGAAGUCUGGCCUCAGUCCCGCGCCCCGUCCCCCCUGCCCCAGCGCUGGCGGCGGUUGCCCAGCCUGCUCACCUGGCCCGGUGGGGCUGGGGGUGGCAGCAGAACCAGGGCAGCGGGAGGAGAGCUCAGCCCAACAGCCCCCGGUCCCGGAGCUGCCCGGCCAGGACGAGCUGCUGCCCUGGUCCGCCCCAGGUCCAUGGCCCUGCGUACAGCUUUGGCGGCCCCCCUCCCCGGCAAGGUGUGGGGGACACCCAGGCGAUGCAGAAGGCAGGACCGGUUGUCCCGCCUGCCUGCUCCAGGCUCUGGGGCACGUGGGGGCACGUGGGGGCACAGGACUCACUCUCCCCCAGGGUGCAGUUCUGGGCCAGGCUCUGGGAGACGGCCCCUCCGUUGUGCAGCUGGGGGAUGAGCCCCACGGUGGCUCCAUCCGGGACCUGGGGGGCAGGUGAGCAGAGGCUGGGCUCCUUCCUGGGCUGGCCCGGGGGCGGGGGCCUGCCCCCCCCAGCCCCUGCCCGCCUGGCACCUUGUAGUGCUGAAGAGUGUUGAGUCUCUUCCAGUGGUUCUGGGUCACUGAGGUCAGGUCCUCAUCUGACAGGGUUAGGUGACCAGCAAGGCCCGAGCGCCACUCUGGGGGCACCCAGGGAGGCCAGUCAGCCCGCAGCCUGCUCUCCCAGUCUGCCAUUUGGAGACUCAGGCGGGGCUCAGCGUGUACAGGUGGCAACGGCCCCACGCAGGGAUGGGGGGUGGUGGGCUCUCACCGAGAUCUAGGGCGUGCGCUGAGGGCCUCUGGGAGAAGGGGGUGCCCUUGUAGACUUGCUCCAACACCUUCUCUUUGACCUGGGUGAUGGUGUCUGUGUCGAGCACCCGGGCGGGCACGCGCUGCACCGCGCCACCCCCUGCGGCCCCGCCAGCCCUGGGGCCCGCCAACACCAUCAGCGUCAGGGGCCGGAACUCCACGUCCUCCCGAAGCAGCCGGCUGUCGUUCAGGGUCCGUUUUGCCUUGCCGGUCACAGCGUCCACGGGGCCCUUGUCCACCUGGUACUGUAUGGCCCGGAGGAGCAUGUACAGCGGCUCACCGGCCACCUCCUGCAACCAUCAGGACGGGCCAGAGUCGGCGCCCGGGACAAGGCCCCCAGGGAAACUGUGGGCACAGGUCGGGGAGGCCACAGCAGCAGCCUUCAGAUGAGGGGAAGGUGACGGUGCCAUCCCGGGCGCCCCUCACCUUCAGGAAGGCAUAGAGACAGAUGGACAGCCAGUUGGUAAGCAGCUUCUCCACCAUGGUCUCUGUCCUGUGGGGAGCAGACCCCAGGUCAGAGAGAGGGUGUCACUGGGCCACCCUGUCCCUGGGCUGAUGUGGGCAAAGGAGGGAAGGCGGGAUGGGGUGGGGGGUGGGGGUGCAGCUCAGCGGGGAGCCUCCACCCCUGCUGCCAGGCCCACGGUGGGGCCAAAGCCAACCUGCGCAGCAUGAGCUUGGGGUUCUUGUGCACGUAGUGGGCAGCCAGGUCACUCAGCAGCGUCCUCAGGAUGUCCGUCAGGUACUCGAGCUUGCCGUGCAGCGCCAGGGACAGCAGAGAAGCCACAUGGCAGCGGUCCCGCUGGGAGAAGCUGGGCUGCUCCUCCAGGGUGUGGAUGAGCUGGCGGGAGGGGCGCCGGCACUCAGGGGAGGCCCCCCACUGGCCCCCCCGCCCCCGUGCCCGCUGCCCCCCUUCCAGACCCCGCGGGCGCCCCGCCCAGCCACGCAGCCCUCACUGUGAGGAGGAAGAGCUUGCUGUUGAGCAGGUUGGAGAGCUGAGUGAGGCCCUGGCGCACGGGGGCACGGCGGCCCUCCUCCCCGGGCCCCUCGAGCGCAGGCUGCAGGGGGCAGCCGCCGUGCCCCGGGAAGAAGACCCGCUCGGCGUAGGUGUGGUAGUCCAGGAAGGGGAUCCCGCUGGCCUCCAGGUCGCUGCUGAGGUCGGUCAUCUCGGUCAUCAGGUCUGCGGGCGGGGAGCCACCGAGGUAUGCACUCGGGCUCAGGUGGGCCCCCGGCGCCCUCCCCGCUGCGCUCUCCUCACCUGUGAACUCCUUGCGGCACUGGUCACCCACACCAAUCUCCAGGUUCUCCAGUUGCACCAGAACCUUCUGAUAGUCCCGCAGGGCCUGCUUGCUCUUGUGCCUGCACCCCAGGGGCCAGGUGUUAGUCACUGGCCCGAGACGGUGGGGCCCCUGAGGCCACCAGGCCUGGAAGCCCACCUCUGGCACCUUUCCUGAAGUGCAGAGGGGAGUUUGUGCAGGUGCCUGCGGCACCGGCAGCGGCACCAGGAGGGGCCUCUCACCUGUACAUGAGGGUGAGGAGGAGGACAGCGGCGAUCAGCACGGCGGCGCCCAGGCCCAGGCCCACCUGGGCCUCCACGGGGAAGGCAGACAGAGUGGGCUCAGUCUCGUACUGGACUGGGCCCAGGGCCAGGCGUACGUUGCCCAUCUGAACCUGAGGGCAGGGUGGGGGGCAGGCUCCUGAGUGGGGGAGCCCAGGGCUCCGCCUGCCCAGCCACCCAUGCCCCUGGAGCCCCGGCUCACCACGAACUGCGGCAGGGCACUGGAGCCGUUGGCGGGCUGCGGGGCCCGGGAGGGCGGCUCGCAGUACAGGUGGGUGAGCGUGAGCGUCUUCACCAGGCACUCGCCGUCGCCGAUGUGCACGCGCACCUCCUCCUUGCUAAUCCCCAGGUUGAGGCCCUGGCCCUGGGAGAGAGACCCGAGCCUGAGCCGCGGGGCCCGGCCUGUGUCCCCGCUCCCCGCACGGAGCUCGCCAGCGGAGCCCUCACCUCCACGUCCAGGACGUUGCCCGGCUUGAGGCGGGUGAAGAAGACCCGCUGGGGGUGCACCCCAUCUGGCACGGCAGGGCUCUGGCACAGAAGGAGGCUGGACGAGUUGAUGGAACAGACAGUGGAGCACUGCGAGGCGGCAGGGGCCGGGACAAGGAGGGGUGGGAACUCUGCCCGCUACCCCGAGGCCAACCUUGAAGUCCUCACCUAGGUUUCGCUCCGGCCCCUCCCUCCUGCUGCCCCCCCGGGCUGGGCACUGACCUGGUCGCCCCUCUCUCUCGGUAGCCACUCUCCGAGGGCUUCCCCAGGAAAGCAGCCCUCAGCUCCUGGCAGCCAGGAUGGCUCACCGGGCAGAGGUGCGGUAGAGAGAGGGCUCGGGGCUGCAGGGGCGGCCGGCCACGUUCACGGCGUCUUGCACCUCGGCGAAGUCCCGGCCCAGGUUGGAGCCCCAGAUGGUGAGGGCCAAGCCGCCCUCGGGGGGCCCCGUCAGGGGCUCAAUCUGCAGCGGGGAAGGAUGGCGAUGGAGUCUCCCCAACCCACCCCCACUGUGUGGUGGGGGUGCCCCAGCAGCCAGCACCUGGGGCGGGCUAGAGCUGCUAGGGCUUGGGGGCCUGA